rnacentral:rRNA from 1 species
UAAAGAAUUUCGGUAUGGGAUGGGGAUGCGUUCCAUUAGUUAGUUGGCGGGGUAACGGCCCACCAAGACAACGAUGGAUAGGGGUUCUGAGAGGAAGGUCCCCCACAUUGGAACUGAGACACGGUCCAAACUCCUACGGGAGGCAGCAGUGAGGAAUAUUGGUCAAUGGACGAGAGUCUGAACCAGCCAAGUAGCGUGAAGGAUGACUGCCCUAUGGGUUGUAAACUUCUUUUACAUGGGAAUAAAAUGUUCCACGUGUGGGAUUUUGUAUGUACCAUAUGAAUAAGGAUCGGCUAACUCCGUGCCAGCAGCCGCGGUAAUACGGAGGAUCCGAGCGUUAUCCGGAUUUAUUGGGUUUAAAGGGAGCGUAGGUGGAUUGUUAAGUCAGUUGUGAAAGUUUGCGGCUCAACCGUAAAAUUGCAGUUGAAACUGGCAGUCUUGAGUACAGUAGAGGUGGGCGGAAUUCGUGGUGUAGCGGUGAAAUGCUUAGAUAUCACGAAGAACUCCGAUUGCGAAGGCAGCUCACUGGACUGCAACUGACACUGAGGCUCGAAAGUGUGGGUAUCAAACAGGAUUAGAUACCCUGGUAGUCCACACAGUAAACGAUGAAUACUCGCUGUUUGCGAUAUACUGCAA